rnacentral:ncRNA from 1 species
AUAAUCCUUCAGGGCAGGGUGAAAUUCCCGACCGGCGGUAUAGCCCGCGAGCUGCUUAAAGCAGUUGAUCUGGUGAGAUUCCAGAGCCGACAGUAUAGUCUGGAUGGGAGAAGGAUAGA